UAUGCCCUCUGAUCUUCAAUACGGACCAUAAAAAUUAAAUAUCUACAUUGUCAACAUUCAGUUACCAAGAGAACGUGACUACCAACACACAUUCCUAAAUCUAUUCUAACUACUCCAAUGAGUUAGUGCCUCGGUUAAGGACACCAAGUCAAAAAGGAUCUCACCGUGAACCUCUAGCAUCCUGGAGUAUCUUCUUACAUCAACCAAGCCAGAUAAUCAAUAACAAGAUGCUAUUGUACAACAUUUUUUUUUUUUACUCUUUUGCCAGCUCUGCUUGUAGCCUUUAAACUAUAAAGGAGAGGGCAUUACAUGAUAUUUAGUAGGUAUGAUCCUUUAGUCAAGGUCUUUACUAUGGGUGUGUGUAAUAGUAGACUGAGCAGUAGCCGGGAGGGCACUUUUUUGUCUUGAAUAUACACCUGCUGCAGCCCCCUUUUGUAUCAUUUCUUUACUUCUGUGUUCAAUCAUUAUGGCUUACAUAGCUGUUGCAUCUUUAUUGUUCUAGUCAAUGCAUGGUAUCUACCCAUUGUUGUGAUAUAUAAUAUCAAUAACAUAAAAAAAACUGUUAAAACAAGAGAGACUAAUGUCAGACGGUUUAUGACAUUAACUAAAACUUUGUAAUCUACAUCAAGAACUUCAUAAUUCAUAUCUGCGGCCCUUUUCUCAAAAACACUGUAGUUUUGGCAUAAGUUAGGUCUGGCGAAAUACUAAGAUACCCAAAUAUUUAGAGAGGUUUAAAUUGUGUUUCAGACAGUGGAGUCAGACUUCAUUUAAGGUGGGUCCUUAGUCCUGGAUUUUUGGGGUUUAGGUAGCAUUUUUUUGUUUGGAAUCAAUAAAUUAACAUUCAGAGUAAUGAAAAAAGGCAAAACAGUUAAGGAUUUCCAUAUUAAUUUUCAUCACAUACACCACUAAAGUCAUGUACCCCGAUGUAGAUUUUUGUGAAAUUCAUUGGAAACAGUUAUUUGUUUUUAUUUUAAUAUAAAAACAACAAAAUAUUUUUUUUAAUUGCAUAUAUUUAUCGGGAAACAUGUCAAUAACUAAAACACAUGUCAUUUUGAAUAUGUUCAUCAAGUUUUAGAAUAAAAUGUGCAAAAUUAUUGAAUUAGCGUUAUUCUCCAAAAUGUUAAAAAACAAACAAAUGUGGACGCACUUUCCUUAUAGCAUGGUUUACAUAUCAUUUUUUCUGUUUAUAUUAGUAGAGUUACAUCUGUUAUAGUUAUUCAUGGGGAAAAAUCCAUACCUUUCCUUAAUAAUUUCAAAUCUAUAGCUUCCAGAUUAUGUAUACCCCCAUCAAAAACUGAAGUAUGGCACCAUAAAGCUGAGCUAUUUAAAAUCACUCGGGAUUAAAAAAUUUAUGUAAUUUCAUGAAAAGACACAGAUAAUGAUUCCUUAUCACCUUGGUAAAAUGUUUGUCAAAAAUAAAGGAAAUCUAUCGCAUUAUGGACUUGAUAAAUAAUUUAAUGAGAACAGAGUUAUUGUCCUUGGAUUCAAUAUUUUGAAACAUAUCAUUGACUAUUCAAAUAUAACUAAGACUUUUGAAAUAUUUUAUGGCUAACAAGAUUUUUUACAAUAACUAUUGAAAAAGAUUCCAACAAAAUUUAUGUUCCUAUCAUUAAAUCAUUGACUUUGCAAAAUCCUAUGACGUCACAGGAGUGUGGAACUACGUUAAAUGUCAAUAUUUACAUUUUCAAUAUCCCUACCAAUUGAAAUGAUAGCCAUUUCCUCAUGAAUGAGAAUGAUGUGCGUAUGAAUCUUGAGAAAUAUAGUACGACUGUUUUAACAGCUGGGAAUUAUGAUACAAAUGAAAGUAAAAUGUAAAUAUAGAAUUUUGAAAAUACAUGAGGGUAUGAACAGCAAUGUUCCACGUUAGCUGUGAAUAGCAUACUAUUCAUGAAGCGCUAAUGUGUUUUAUGAAACAUGCUGGCAUAUAGCAUCGCAGUUCAUGCCCCUAUGUAUCUUCAAAAAUGAAAUUGAUUUCUUAAUUAAACUUAACAUUUUCACUUAUACUAAAAAUGUGCAAAUCACAUUUCAUUUGCUGAAAUUUAUUUUUUAAGUACAGAUAACUGUGAGUUAAAAUAUCCAUAAAUGUACAACUCAAAAUGAUGUAUAUGUAGCAUGCAUGCAUGUGAAGAUUUUACAUUACAGAGAAAUAAUCUGUACUUGAAUUAUUUUCAAAUUGUUGUUUCUAUAAUUCCUUUACACAAUUUAGAUAGUGCACUUGUGGCAGGGCUCGAAAUUAGCGAGAAAUACUCACAAAAUGCAAGUACAUUUGAAAAAUAGUGAAUAAAAAUAGUGGACACUCGAAAAUCUUAGCAAGUGGUGAUUUACAAACCAUGAUCGUAUCGUAUCCGUUUUAUACGGUGAUGCACUAUUCGCUAUUCUUAAACUUGCACUCAGAAUCAUACAAACGCUUACAUGAACGACUGAUUUUAACAACCGUUUCUAUCUGGAUUUUUUUUCUAUGAUUUUUUUUAGGAAAGUAGUCAUUUUUAUCAGAAUGUCCUAUCUACAUUAAUUUAUUGUCAUAUUGAGGUCGGGUUGUAGUGAUAACACAAGUGCAAUGCUCACUGCGUAGACAAUUAUAAAAAACGUUCAUGGGACUCGUGAUUGUGCUGCUUAUAAAACAUGAGUCGGGGAUUCGCUUUGAAAAACCACUAUAUAGUGACAACCCUGAUGUGGCGUGAAAUUGGAAGGCUUUGGAUCUUGACAGGUCUGCCGUAGCAGUUUGUGGAUUAUAGGUGCGAUGGUCAAGAGACCUAAACAUUGAUUUACGUAACUUAGUGUCUUGUCCAAUCAAUGCCUGUUGACCCACUAGGCUCAGUAAUGAUGGGGAAAAUCAUUUAUUAAAAUAAGCAUAUUAAAAAAGAGCACUGCUUCAUUAUUUUCAUUUUACCUUGUUGUUUUUCAUUUUAGCCUAGAUUUUUACCCACAGGCUAAAAUUAGCCUGUGGUAGAAAAAGUUAAUUUCGACCCCUGUUAUGGUAAUGGGAUUAAAAAUUACCAAAUUAUAGAUAUACUAGUAAUAAAUUUGUAGAUGAAUAGAACUUCAAAAAUAAUCAGACCAUUAAAUUUUAUGCUAAAAUCAGAAUUCUUAAAUUCAAUGAAAUCUGACUAAAUGAUAUUGAAAAUUACAUUUUAUCAAGUGUACAUUUAAGAAAUAAAUUUUGUUUUUGAAAAUGCAUAAGGGAAUGAACUGUGGCACUUUACACCAGCAUUCUUCAUGAAACAACAUAACUAGACAACCUGACAUUUGUAUGUCGUUUCUGAGGCUCUGUCGAGGUGACUGAACACACAAUAUCUAACUUACCUGACUCCUCCUUUAGUCCUAAGAAGAUAGGUAACUCUGACUAUUGCUUGAUGUGUCCGAGAUGACUGAACACCUCAUACAUAACUUACCUGGAUACAAGACACCCUCAGACAUUUGUCUGUUGUAAUUGAGGUGACUGAACACACAACUUACCUGACUCCUCCUCUGGGUCCUGAGGAGACUGGACACCCUCAGACAUUUGUCUGUUGAAUUUGAGGCCCUGUAGACUCAUUCCUGCCUUCUGCCUAUCUAUCUGUGUUUGACUUUGGACCUCCACUACUUCAUAUUGCACAACAUCGGGGGCCUCAGUCUCGGUCUGAAACAGUUCAAUAAAACAUUCAUAGUACAAAGUCCCAGUAACUUCACUAGGUAUAUAUUUCAUUUUGAUGAAAUAUUCCUGGAGAUACAUUUUCAAACAGAGAAGACCUUUUCACUAAUUUCCAACUUUUUGCUGCUAGGAAUUCAGAAUAUAGCUCGUUGUCAAGUAAUCAUAACACAACAUUAAAAUCAAUGAACAGGAUACUUAUACAGAGAAAGCAUGUGUAAAGAAGUUUGUGAAAAAUAGGUGUAAAUCAUUAUAGGAUUUCCUGUCCUCUUCUGUACGUCUGUCCCUAGUUAUCCGAGUCCUUAAGGACACAAGGAGUAAUACAGAGGAAAUAUGGCAGCUGGAAACUGAGAGACCCUUUCUACUGUCCCUGAAUAUCAG